rnacentral:rRNA from 1 species
AUGUGUCCAUAUGUGUGUUGUGGCGGAAGGGCAAUGUGGAGACGUUGUGCGUGUGAUACAGACACAGAGAGGUGUGAAUACACACGCAGCACAACACACACACACUCCCCCGAGCACACAAUUCAUCCCCAUCCAAGGUUAUACGGCGACCACUCUCGCUUGUGCUUCUUUGCACCCCAACAUGCACAACACCUCAAUCUUCAAAGAGGGCAUCGAGUAGAUCGAAGACGGUGA